CCUACGGGCGGCAGCAGUGAGGAAUAUUGGUCAAUGGACGCAAGUCUGAACCAGCCAUGCCGCGUGCAGGAAGACGGCACUAUGAGUUGUAAACUGCUUUUGUACGAGGGUAAACGCAGAUACGUGUAUCUGUCUGAAAGUAUCGUACGAAUAAGGAUCGGCUAACUCCGUGCCAGCAGCCGCGGUAAUACGGAGGAUGCAAGCGUUAUCCGGAUUUAUUGGGUUUAAAGGGUGCGUAGGCGGUCGGAUAAGUUAGUGGUGAAAUCCCGAGGCUCAACCUCGGAACUGCCUCUGAUACUGUCCGGCUAGAGAGUAGGUGCGGUAGGCGGAAUGUAUGGUGUAGCGGUGAAAUGCUUAGAGAUCACACAGAACACCGAUUGCGAAGGCAGCUUACCAAGCCACUUCUGACGUUGAGGCACGAAAGCGUGGGGAGCAAACAGGAUUAGAUACCCGUGUAGUC
rnacentral:rRNA from 1 species